rnacentral:misc_RNA from 1 species
GAUGAAGAACGUAGCGAAAUGCGAUAAGUAAUGUGAAUUGCAGAAUUCAGUGAAUCAUCGAAUCUUUGAACGCAACUUGCGCUCCUUGGCAUUCCGAGGAGCAUGCCUGUUUGAGUGUCAUGAAACUAUCAAGCUACAAAUGUUCUUGUUAGCAUUUGUUGGUUUGGACAUUGGAUGCUUUGCUGGACAAUAUUGUACAGCUCAUCCGAAAUUUAUUAGCUGGUCUAAAUACCUUGGACUAUAUCCACUUGGCGUGAUAAGUAUCACCCGCUGAGGACUUGUUCAUUGGAGGUUGACUGCUUCUAGUAACCCAAUUAUAUUUGAAUCAUCUGACCUCAAAUCAGGUAGGACUACCCGCUGAACUUAAGCAUAUCAAUAAGCGGAGGA